rnacentral:pre_miRNA from 2 species
GUCAGGAAGAGGAAGAAACAGAGGGUAUAAGAGCAGUGGGAAUGAGAAUAUUGAGGAAAGCCAAGCCUGAUUUCCUCCUAGCUGUCGGGUGGGAAUUUGGUUUGGUCUUUCCCGAUGCCUCUCAUUCCUAUUGUUCUUAAGCCUUCCUUCCUCUUCUGUUUUUGC